rnacentral:rRNA from 1 species
CAGUAGCCGCGGUAAUACGAAGGGGGCUAGCGUUGUUCGGAAUUACUGGGCGUAAAGGGCGCGUAGGCGGCCAUUCAAGUUAGAUGUGAAAGCCCUGGGCUCAACCUAGGAAUUGCAUUUGAUACUGUUUGGCUUGAGUUCGGGAGAGGUGAGUGGAAUUCCCAGUGUAGAGGUGAGAUUCGUAGAUAUUGGGAAGAACACCAGUGGCGAAGGCGGCUCACUGGACCGACACUGACGCUGAGGCACGAAAGCGUGGGGAGCAAACAGGAUUAGAUACCCCCGUAGUCCCUGUCUCUUAUAC